CGGGGUGGAGUAAUGUCUGGGAAACUGCCCGAUGGAGGGGGAUAACUACUGGAAACGGUAGCUAAUACCGCAUAACGUCGCAAGACCAAAGAGGGGGACCUUAGGGCCUCUUGCCAUCGGAUGUGCCCAGAUGGGAUUAGCUAGUAGGUGGGGUAAUGGCUCACCUAGGCGACGAUCCCUAGCUGGUCUGAGAGGAUGAUCAGCCACACUGGGACUGAGACACGGCCCAG
rnacentral:rRNA from 1 species